rnacentral:rRNA from 1 species
CGAACAAGAAAGGGUAGCAAUACCUGAGUACAGUGGCGCACGGGUGAGUAACACGUGACUAACCUACCCUGGAGUGGGGAAUAACUGAGGGAAACCUUANCUAAUACCGCAUAAUACCUACGGGUCAAAGGAGCAAUUCGCUUCAGGAGGGGGUCGCGGCCGAUUAGUUAGUUGGCGGGGUAAUGGCCCACCAAGACAGUGAUCGGUAUCCGGCCUGAGAGGGCGCACGGACACACUGGAACUGAAACACGGUCCANACUCCUACGGGAGGCAGCAGUGGGGAAUUUUGCGCAAUGGGGGAAACCCUGACGCAGCAACGCCGCGUGGAGGAUGAAAUCCCUUGGGAUGUAAACUCCUUUCGAUCGGGCCGAUUAUGACGGUACCGGAAGAANAAGCCCCGGCUAACUUCGUGCCANCAGCCGCGGUAAUACGAGGGGGGCUAGCGUUGUUC